CUCCUCCUCACUUAGCUCUGCCAUCAUGGGGAGAAUUGCACGCGAUCUGGCUCUCUUGACGAUCCUAUUGCUCAUGGCGUCGGGGACAUCAAGCGUACAUGGAAGUGGAAGCGUGCCUCUUGAGGAAGCUCCCUUGAGCCCUCCCCGUUGCACCGAGCUCAAAGACUGCACGUGGCACUGCUUUCGAUUUGGGUGUAUUAACAAAGGUUGUGUUGAUGGGUUAUGCAAGUGUCGGUGCACGUGAUAGAUUAUUAGAUGCCUUGAGAUUUGUCGUAUAAUCAUGGUGAAGAUGUAUGCAAUAAUUGAUUUAUGUAAUGUUAUGGAGCCGGAAAGUGACAUUGAUUUCAUAAUCGAUAUGGUUUAUUGCUCCUAAGAGCGGCAUUUCAAGAAUCCAUGUCGAUGAAAUCCGAUUUGCGAUUGUUUCGUUGGAA